AAGCGAGAAGCAAAAGUUGCAAUCAGUUUCGACCUGAUCUUUGAUAAUGAAUUAUCCUCUCUUU
rnacentral:tRNA from 1 species